rnacentral:tRNA from 1 species
GGGGACGUCGUAUAACCUGGUUAUUAUCUCCGCCUCCAGAGCGGAUAAUCGGGGUUCAAAUCCUCGCGUCCCCA